UACGUAGGCAGCGAGCGUUGUUCGGAGUUACUGGGCGUAAAGGGUGUGUAGGCGGCUUUUUAAGUUUGGUGUGAAAUCUCCCGGCUUAACCGGGAGGGUGCGCCGAAUACUGAAAGGCUAGAGUGCGGGAGAGGAGAGUGGAAUUCCUGGUGUAGCGGUGAAAUGCGCAGAUAUCAGGAGGAACACCUAUUGCGAAGGCAGCUCGCUGGGACGUUACUGACGCUGAGACGCGAAAGCGUGGGUAGCAAACAGG
rnacentral:rRNA from 1 species